rnacentral:rRNA from 1 species
UACAGAGGUCCCGAGCGUUGUUCGGAUUCACUGGGCGUAAAGGGCUCGUAGGCGGCCAACUAAGUCGGACGUGAAAUCCCUCGGCUUAACCGGGGAACUGCGUCUGAUACUGGUUGGCUUGAGUGUGGGAGAGGGAUGCGGAAUUCCAGGUGUAGCGGUGAAAUGCGUAGAUAUCUGGAGGAACACCGGUGGCGAAGGCGGCAUCCUGGACCAUUACUGACGCUGAGGAGCGAAAGCCAGGGGAGCAAACGGG